AGCCACAACAGCCCCUUGUAUCAACCAUCCCUAUGGUAACCUGACGCGAACGAUCCGACGAGUCAACAUAGAUCCAGAAAGACAUAAUAGAUAGAUAAACAAUAACAAAUGCUUUCAGAGUGAUGUUAGAAGUAGUGCGCGAGUAGAUCGUUGCUAGGUUUUUGAUUUGUAAUUUUAUACUUAUAUUUACACUUUAUUUAGUUUAACUUAUACACCUAUUUGUAGGAAAAGGUCAAAACAUAUCACUUUGUUGCGGGCUAGGUCAAGAGUAGGUCGGAGACUGAAUUGUGAGUACAUCUUGAACUUAAACGCAUGAACUCGAACUCUUAUUUACAAUAUAUUUUAGCUUUAAGCCGAUAAACACCAAAUCUGGGACUGUUUUAUUUCUGCUGGGAGAACUCCACCAAACCUACCGCAACAAACUUAAAGAAUUCAUCCGAGUUGUAAUGAAUUCGCAAGCGAAUGUUCGACAGACCCGGUCUCAGACGAGAAUUCAGCAGGGGAAUGCUAAUCUCAUGCCGGGAGAUGAUGGUAAAAUGUCGAGUCAUUCAUCAGAAGGCUCAUUUAUCCAAUCCAUAAUCGAUAGAGAUGGAGCAUGUAUGUCCGCAAAUGCUUGUGGUGUAUCAAAAACGACAUCGAGUAUAAUUAGUGCGCUUUCGGGCACAUCUAGUUCUCGUAAAGCCUUACUAGAUCGUGAAUUGCUACGUCUGGAAGAGGAGAAGCAAUUAAUCGACGAUCUGAAUCGUGAGAAGAUCGAACGAGAGCGGGCUUUGAAUGAGAAGGAACUUCAGCAAAAACUAGAGCGAGGAAAAGAGUUUAUCGCUCGGAAGCAUGAAUUGCUGAGGCAACAGGAAGAAGAAGAAGGAAAAAGCGUUUGCAGUAUGCGGAGUAGCCAAAGAAUCGCAAAACGAACUGAGGACUGGGUGAAUCAAUCAAAGGUGAUCGAUGAAGCCGGCGAGGUCGUCGUUGACGUUCGACAAGUACCCCAACCGACAUCUGCGAUUACCGCUCAUCCAGAGGGCGUAGGUCUAGCUGAAGUGCAUGUUUCUUCAACGCCAAUCAAGGCUGCUGUAUCCACACUGCAACAUCCUCUAGGUGAUGGGAAACGAGAAUUGGAAUCAGAGGUGAAAUCGUUUCCACCAAUUUUGGAAAGUAUCUCGAUCGGGGAUGAGUCUGAGGACUCUCUUGAAGCCAUCGCCGUUGGACCAAAGGCGGAUAGACAGGAACAGGACAAACACUCAUCACGUUUGCCGUUCGUCAAUUUGCAACCGUAUGCCAAUCUCUUAAAAGUUGAAGAAGCAACAGUAAACUCAGGGGCAGUUUCGAAAGUUAAUCGCUUUGGCGCUCACUGCUAUCAGCGUUGGAGUAUGGAAACUAGUGAGCUCCGGAAACACAAUGCGCAUCAGCUGCAGGGGGAAACGGAAGCGGACAUGAUGGUGAAAGAGCAGCCAGAAAUCGACGGAUGGCGAAAACGAGAAGUAGAACUGGUGAACCAGAUUAGAAGUUUGCAGCUUCAGCACGCAACUGAGCAGAAGCUGGUACGAGAAAGGGAAGACGGCUUGUAUAUCCAGCUUAAACAACGAGAUCGUGAAAAGUUUCAGCUGGAAGCUCAGAUUGAGGCUUUGGAGAAGAUACUUGUCGAGGACAGGGAGCGGAUGCGCACUUCCGAAGCAGAUUUGCAGGCUCAACUCCAGCGACGAGAUCGUGAACUUGAGGCGCUGCAGCAUCAGGUUAAAGAGCUGCAGAACGAAAUUAAGACCUUGCGAAGCAGGGAAAAACAGCUGCAAUUUGAAAAUGAAGCGGCUGAUCAGCGUGAGCAAAAGGCCAUUCGUCAGCGAAAGAAAGCGGAGAAGGAUUAUUGGGACUUCUACGAAGAAAUACAACAGAUAAUCAAGCGGAACGAAGAUCAAUCAGUAGACACAGAUUGUUAUUCUACGCUACCCCCUCCUCCACCGUCGUGGAUAGGUGAUGCGAGUGCGUCUGAUGCGGGAAAUCAUAUGAACUAUGAUUUAAACCGAGCUUUCCAUCGUCCUCUACUACCGGCUAUGGAUUCGCAGUUGUCGUCUCAAGCUGUAAGCCAGGCUGCCUCUUAUUUGGGGCCAUCGCCUCAACAGCUAGCCGCUAGACUGGUAGUCAUCAAGGAAUUGCCGAUUUUUUCUGGAGAUCCGGUCGACUGGCCUCUAUUCAUUAGCAGUUAUCAACAUUCAACAGAAACUUGUGGGUAUACUAACUCAGAAAACCUAUUGCGUUUGCAACGUUGUCUGAGAGGUAGUGCUAAGGAUUCCGUGAGUAGUUUUUUACUACAUCCGUCUACAGUUCCCCAUGUUUUGUCGACCCUGCAAUUGUUAUAUGGCCGUCCGGAACAAAUCGUUAACAAUAUGAUUGCUAAAGUUCGAGCAACACCACCUCCUAAAGCAGAUAAAUUGGAAACACUGGUUAGUUUUGGAUUGGUGGUACAAAACCUUUGCGGGCACCUUAAAGCAGUCGGGUUACACAGGUAUCUUACUAACCCAAUAUUGCUCCAGGAGUUGGUCGAUAAGCUACCGACAACAGUAAAGUUUAACUGGGCGCUUCAUCAGGAACAAGUUCCGGAUGUAGAUUUAAAUGUAUUUAGUGAGUACAUGGCCAAAAUUACUUCGGCUGCAAGUGGCAUUACACAGCUUGCUAAUAUUCCGCAGAAUUGUUUGAAAGAUGAGCGAACUAGACCGAAGGAUAGAUCUUUUGUUCAUAUGCAUGGAUCUUCGGAACAAAUAGAACCGAAUUAUAGAGAAGAUGUAGAGAAAGCUGGAAUUGAUGGACAGGUGCAAAAAGGAAGAAAUAAUCAGAGCAAAUGCUCAAUUUGCGAUGUAGACAGUCAUCAAAUCAGUAGCUGCACGUCAUUUAACGCACUUGAUUUGGAUGGCAGGUGGGAAGCAGUGAAGAUGCACAAACUUUGUGCUCGCUGCCUUAUGUCACACGCACGGUGGCCUUGUAAAGGACAGGUAUGCGGAAUCAAUGGUUGUCCAAAGCGGCAUCACCGCAUGCUACACUACAUGCCGACAGCAACCGUAGAUUAUCAAAGUGAUAGCUACAGUUCAUCAUAGACUUCUGCGUUUAACAUGGCGCUUAACAAAAGGGGCUGUGUUGGACCUAUUGAGCUUUGUGACGCUGAACCGGAAGUUAAGGCGACACGGGGGGGAGAAUGUUAGCCACAACAGCCCCUUGUAUCAACCAUCCCUAUGGUAACCUGACGCGAACGAUCCGACGAGUCAACAUAGAUCCAGAAAGACAUAAUAGAUAGAUAAACAAUAACAAAUGCUUUCAGAGUGAUGUUAGAAGUAGUGCGCGAGUAGAUCGUUGCUAGGUUUUUGAUUUGAAAAGGUCAAAACAUAUCACUUUGUUGCGGGCUAGGUCAAGAGUAGGUCGGAGACUGAAUUGUGAGUACAUCUUGAACUUAAACGCAUGAACUCGAACUCUUAUUUACAAUAUAUUUUAGCUUUAAGCCGAUAAACACCAAAUCUGGGACUGUUUUAUUUCUGCUGGGAGAACUCCACCAAACCUACCGCAAC